AUGAUUACACACGUUUUUAUUCAAUCACUUGACGAACAGUCCCAGAAGAGGCAUAUAUAUCCUCUACUAGCUAUAUAGGGAAUACAUAGUGAGUAGUGACAAGGUAACAACGUUGAUCUAGAAGCUUUCAAUGCCGUAGGUCACAUUCAUUGGAUUCAUGACGGAUGAGAUUAUAUUCUUUUUGCAUUGACUUUGACAAUUUUGCGGAGCACAAUAACUUUCUGUUGUUCCACACCAACUCCAAAUACUACAACACUCAUUGCUUUUACAUUUUCCACCACCACCUCCCAUUCCACAUCGCGGAUAUGGAGGUGGAGGUGUAGGUGGAGGUGAGGGUGAAGGUGUGUGUGGACAUUGACUUUGACAAUUUUGCGGAGCACAAUAACUUUCUGUUGUUCCACACCAACUCCAAAUACUACAACACUCAUUGCUUUUACAUUUUCCACCACCACCUCCCAUUCCACAUCGCGGAUAUGGAGGUGGAGGUGUAGGUGGAGGUGAGGGUGAAGGUGUGUGUGGACAUUGACUUUGACAAUUUUGCGGAGCACAAUAACUUUCUGUUGUUCCACACCAACUCCAAAUACUACAACACUCAUUGCUUUUACAUUUUCCACCACCACCUCCCAUUCCACAUCGCGGAUAUGGAGGUGGAGGUGAAGGUGCAGGUGGAGGUGGGGAUGGAGUCGGAGGUGGAGGUGAGGGUGAAGGGGGAGGAGGGGAUGGAGUCGGAGGUGGAGGUGAGGGUGAAGGGGGAGGUGGGGAUGGAGGUGGAGGUGAAGGUGAAGGCGGAGGUGGGGAUGGAGGUGGAGGUGAAGGUGCAGGUGGAGGUGGGGAUGGAGUCGGAGGUGGAGGUGAGGGUGAAGGGGGAGGUGGGGAUGGAGGUGGAGGUGAAGGUGAAGGCGGAGGUGGGGAUGGAGGUGGAGGUGAAGGUGUGUGUGGACAUUGACUUUGACAAUUUUGCGGAGCACAAAAACUUUCUGUUGUUCCACACCAACUCCAAAUACUACAACACUCAUUGCUUUUACAUUUUCCAUCACCACCUCCCAUUCCACAUCGCGGAUAUGGAGGUGGAGGUGAAGGUUCAUGCGGAGGUGGGGAUGAAAGUGGCAUGCCAAAGGUUUCAUUAUGAGGAAGAGAUAGCCUAUCGGCUGAGACAAGGAACAAAUAUUGCAAAGUCACCACACAUAAAACACUUAUAAUUAAGGUCUCCUUCAUU
rnacentral:lncRNA from 1 species